rnacentral:rRNA from 1 species
AUUGAACGCUGGCGGCAUGCCUUACACAUGCAAGUCGAACGGUAACAAGUCUUCGGAUGCUGACGAGUGGCGAACGGGUGAGUAAUACAUCGGAACGUGCCUAGUAGUGGGGGAUAACUACUCGAAAGAGUGGCUAAUACCGCAUGAGAUCUACGGAUGAAAGCAGGGGAUCGCAAGACCUUGUGCUACUAGAGCGGCCGAUGGCAGAUUAGGUAGUUGGUGGGAUAAAAGCUUACCAAGCCGACGAUCUGUAGCUGGUCUGAGAGGACGAUCAGCCACACUGGGACUGAGACACGGCCCAGACUCCUACGGGAGGCAGCAGUGGGGAAUUUUGGACAAUGGGCGCAAGCCUGAUCCAGCAAUGCCGCGUGCAGGAUGAAGGCCUUCGGGUUGUAAACUGCUUUUGUACGGAACGAAAAGCCCCGGGUUAAUACCCUGGGGUCACGACGGUACCGUAAGAAUAAGCACCGGCUAACUACGUGCCAGCAGCCGCCGUAA